rnacentral:rRNA from 1 species
CAAAGGAAUUGACGGGCCCGGCACAAGCAGCGGAGCGUGUGGUUUAAUUCGAUGUUACACGAAGAACCUUACCAGGGUUUGACAUGCAAGUGGUAGGAAACCGAAAGGCGACGACCCUUCGGGGAGCUUGCACAGGUGCUGCAUGGCUGUCGUCAGCUCGUGUCGUGGGAUGUUCGGUUAAGUCCGCUAACGAGCGCAACCCUCGCUGUGUGUUACAAGUGUCACACGGUACUGCCGGUCUUAAGCCGGAGGAAGGUGGGGAUGACGUCAAGUCAGCAUGGCCUUUAUGUCCUGGGCUACACACACGCUACAAUGGCCAACACAAUAGGUUGCUAAGCCGCGAGGUGGAGCCAAUCCUCAAAGUUGGUCUCAGUUCAGAUUGCAGGCUGCAACCCGCCUGCAUGAAGAUGGAGUUGCUAGUAACCGCAGGUCAGCUAUACUGCGGUGAAUACGUUCCCGGGGCUU